rnacentral:rRNA from 1 species
GUGGGGAAUAUUGGACAAUGGGCGAAAGCCUGAUCCAGCAAUGCCGCGUGAGUGAUGAAGGCCUUAGGGUUGUAAAGCUCUUUUACCCGGGAUGAUAAUGACAGUACCGGGAGAAUAAGCUCCGGCUAACUCCGUGCCAGCAGCCGCGGUAAUACGGAGGGAGCUAGCGUUGUUCGGAAUUACUGGGCGUAAAGCGCACGUAGGCGGCUUUGUAAGUUAGAGGUGAAAGCCUGGAGCUUAACUCCAGAACUGCCUUUAAGACUGCAUCGCUUGAAUCCAGGAGAGGUGAGUGGAAUUCCGAGUGUAGAGGUGAAAUUCGUAGAUAUUCGGAAGAACCCCAGUGGCGAAGGCGGCUCACUGGACUGGUAUUGACGCUGAGGUGCGAAAGCGUGGGGAGCAAACAGGAUUAGAAACCCGUGUAGUCC